rnacentral:tRNA from 1 species
GCGGACGUAGCUCAGCUGGUAGAGCACUGGCUUCCCAAGCCAGUGAUCGCGGGUUCGAGCCCCGUCGUCCGCU